CCUACGGGAGGCAACAGUAGGGAAUUUUCGGCAAUGGGCGGAACCCUGACCGAGCAACGCCGCGUGAAGGAAGAAGGAAUUCGUUCUGUAAACUUCUGUUAUAAAGGAAGAAAGACGGAUGGAGGAAAUGACAUCCGAGUGACGGUACUUUAUGAGAUAGCCUCGGCUAACUCCGUGCCAGCAGCCGCGGGAGUACGUAGGUGGCAAGGGUUAUCGGGAAUUAUUGGGCGUAAAGAGGGAGCAGGCGGCAGCAAAGGUCUGUGGUGAAAGACUGAAGCUUAACUUCAGUAAGCCAUAGAAACCGGGCAGCUAGAGUGCAGGAGAGGUACGUGGAAUUCCAUGUGUAGCGGUGAAAUGCGUAGAUAUAAGGAAGAACACCAGUGGCGAAGGCGACGAUCUGGCCUGCAACUGACGCUCAGGCCCGAAAGCGUGGGGAGCAAAUAGGAUUAGAUACCCCAGUAGUC
rnacentral:rRNA from 1 species